UUUUUGAAGUCUUGCUCUCUGCAUGACGAAACGCUCCUCUCCAAGAACUAAAAAAAAUGCUAUGGUGGAACAGAGGCUGCUUUACACCUGCUGGGGGCACUGCAAUACAAAGAAAAGGAGCGGUGAAUGCUGAAGAUCUUUCACCUUAGAAGCUGACAAAAAAACCUGCAACUUUCAGCAAAAAUAAGAUAAGAUUAUCAGAAUUGAGAGCUGUCACUGGGAGGAAAAAGAUGAUUAAAUGUAUUCACUAACCACUCAAAAGGAAAAGGCUAUCCAGGUUCCACAAGUAUAGUAGUAUAGCUAUAGUGCUAUCUGCAUGAUUGACAGUAGUUCCAUGCAAUUGCAUGUUAUUUUACUUCCUUUUACUCCUAAAAAUACAUUCUCUGUACUUUUCUCCCAUUAGUAGUCAAAUUAUAAUGACUUAUAAAGUCUAGUUGUGGUGUGAUUUCUGAUAACAGGGUGUUAUUCUUGCAAAAUGGAUUCAGUCUUCUUUGCGAAUUUGUUUGCGUCCAGUUAUGCCAUUUGGAAAAUGGAAGACUUACUUUGAUAGUACAAUAAUCACAGAUUAGAGGCUUGGCUGAAGAGAGGUCAUUGUAUUUCCAGGAUUUAUCAGUAAACUGCUUAUAAGUGCUAUUGGUUUGCUGACUGCUUCUUUGCAGUCUUAAAGCAAGGAUUUGACAUCACGCUCCUGAUAUUCUGUGCUUUAUGAUAAAUUCUCUGCAUUGCAAUAACCAUUUCGUACUCUCAUCAGGUACCUAUCUCUAGUUUUUUCAAAAGUGUAUGACAUGCCAUUAGAAUUUACUAACUAUAUUUUUCCUGCAUUAGUGUUUCAAUACCACUUUCUUUGCAUUGUGGAGAAAAAACAAGAUCUGUUUUUACUAUUUUCAACAAUAGUUUGACAACAACAAUAAAAUAAUAUUGGCACUAUAUUGCUUUUAGAAAUGGCAUAAUACUCUCUGGUUUCAUAAUAUCCCUACAACAAGGAAAAUAGAUUAUCCACACUAAUAUAUGGACAUUAUCUUUUUCAGAUUUGCACUUAUUUAAACAAAUUUCAUAAUUCUCUUAAGUUCCCAAUUUUUAACUCAUUUGUGGAGUUUUCUUACAGAGGUUGUACAUACAUGUGUUAAGUACAUCUUCACUUAGUCAUUCAUAUUCUGGUAAUAGCCAGUUAGUUUGAAAGCAGAAUUAUCUUUUAAUGCUUAACAGAGCAACUGGUAUGUUUCAUGUUUGUAAAAGCUACAAUGAUCAAAGUAGUACUCUUUCUGAAGUACUAUUUCCAAAAUGAGAAAACUGAGGAAGGAUAAGAUCUUGAUAGCAUUCACGAAAUGAAAGAUAACCAAACAGAGAACAGUAUGAAACAGCUUAAUUCUUAAUUAGUUAAAGAUUUGCUUACUUCAUCUGGACAUCACUUCUCAUUGUUGUAAUAAUGCUUAUGCUUAGAAGGACACAGAUACUGCUAAGUUUCUAAGAUGACAGAGAGAAGAGUCAUCACCUCUUGACACAUAUUUGUUAUAGUUUCUCUUUCAGAGUAGGAGGUGUUAAAGGUCAGGGCUUUGGCAUUCAGGCUGAAUCUCAAGAAUUUGUACUUUAAGUCUUGGCUUAAAAUACAUUUUCCAUAUUUACCACAAUUUGAAGCUAUUUAUAAGUGUUACAUGACAAUCAUUUCUUUGUUCAUGGAGAGGUUACAAGAUAAUAUAGAAUUUUGUGGACAAUGGGAUGGAACAGCAGAUUAAAAAUAAUAGUAAAAUAAUAUUUUCAUUAAGUAUUUCCAUUUUUAUCCUUUUUAAGGCCUCCAGCUCACCUCUUCCCCUUCUGUAACAAAAAGCUGACAAAAGCACACUAAAGAACAGUGCAGUGAAAUGAAGACAGAAAAUACGAAUAGUAUUAAUAACAGCUUUUGCUUAUAAUUGUAGUCACUUCAUGUAUUUCUGAAACUACUGCACAAUGACAUUCCUUUAAAAGAUAUACAGAUCAGAAAAAAUUAUUGGAUGAACCAGUUACAGAGUAAUUCCUUUAUUACUUAAUGUAAGAGGAAUCUGAAAGCUCACGUUAGAAAAUCAUAUUGUAAUGACAGGGUCAGCUACAAAAUGUCUAUUAUCUUGAUGUAGAGCUAAAUAUGUGCAUUUCUUGCCCUCAUCUUAGAAGUUCAAAUACAGUUAUGAAUUUAAUUUUCCAGUACAAAAUAUAUUAUUAUCCCUAGAUGUUAAUCUAUCAUGAUCUGUACCUAGAACAGUGAUUUUAGAAGACAAAACUCAGUUCAAUUUUUAAACCUUGUGUUUACUAGUCAGCUAUAAAAAAAUCCUUAAUACUGCCAUGCUUUCAGAUCAGUGUAUUCAGUCCCAUCCCACAGAAAGACCUUAUGCUUUAGAAAAAACAACACCUUUUCUCAGUUAAACAUGAGUUGUGGAUCUCACUGUUGUUAUUUCAAACAUAUUAUUGUGUAAUUUCUUAUUAUAUCAAUUUCUAUGGAACCCAACAGAACAGCAGAACACUGAUUUUCUGUAGUGUUUGUUAUAUGGCACUUAAAGUAACUACUGUACCUUGACACUAGUCCCACAAACUAUUUAGAUCCUUAGAUCUGCCAUUCUACUACAUGCAGCCUUCAUUCCUGAGGUAGGGAUUUAAUAACUCCUAUUUCUUUACUUCAUUUUUUUCUGAGAAUUCAAAGCAGACAAAGUUGGCAAAGGGACUCUGUUUGCCUUCAACAAAUCAAAAUACUGAGUCCCUUGUUACAUUGGACUGCAUGAAGUGAUGGCACAAGCCAAACUACACCGCUCUGUCUCCAUUUCAUAUUACAAAACUGUCUAGCAACUUGGCUGAAAGCAAAGAACAUUUUUUAUAAAGAACAUUUAAAAUAUACAGAAUAUUUUAACCAAAAAUCUUGAUGUUACUUUUGUAAGCUGACAACAGAAGAGGUUUUCAGUAUGUAAUAAAACUUGGAGGAUCAAAGAAUCACAGAACAUAGGACGGAGUUAAAGAAAACUCUGGGGAUCAUCUGGUCCCACCCUCUGUUAAAGCAGGUUCCCUACAGCAGGUUGCACAGGAAAGCAUUGAUGUGGGUUUUGAAUAUGUCCAGAAAAAGAGACCCCACAAUCUCUCUGGGCAGUCAUUUUCUGUGAUCUGUCACCCUCAAAAUAAAGAAAUUCCUUCUCAUAUUUGUAUGGAACUUCCUGUAUUCCAGUUUUCUCUCACUGCACAUUAUCCUGUUGCUUCCCACCACUGAAAAGAGCCUGGGCCCAUCCAUUUGACUCCCAUACUUAAGGUAUUUAUAAACAGUGAUGAGAUCCCCAUUCAGUUUUCUCUUCUCCAGGCUGAUCAGUCCCAGAUCUCUCAACCUUUUCUCAUACAGGAGAUGCUCCAUGCCCCAGGAUCACACGUGCUCUUGACAAAAAUGGAAAUUCCUUCUUCCUAGUCAGGAAGUAGAUAAUGUAAGGAACUCUCUGAUACAUGACUGUUACAGGUAUCUUAGAGAAAGAUGCUAUUUUAUACUUAAGUCCCGAUGAGAGAAGGAAUUAUAGAUAUUCAUGUCAAGUCAACCCCUGAUAUGUGGUCCAAGAACCACAACAGAGGGUAACUCCAGAUUUCAGGGUAGCAGUGAUUUCUUUAUUCAGCCUCAUGCACAACAAAAGAAAAAUUACCUUGUAAAGUUAACGUGUAUAUUGCAAAAGAAUUUCGUACUUUGGUAUGACAUGUAGUCCUUCCUCUUUAAAGCAUUUCUAACUACCUCAUAGGAAAAAAAUGACAUUUCUCUCUUUCCUUGUAUAUAUGAUCCUUUCUUGGCCUUAAGGGCCUACUUUAGGAGCAAAACUAAACUAUGAUCACGUUCCAAAACUCUUUCUUAAAACUUACUAAACUGCAAAAAAAAUUACAGUAUUUUUCUUGUAAGCAAAGAUUUGUUGUACUAUCAAUUUGUGACAGUUUUCACAAGGUAAGAGCUGGCUUAUAACAGGCAAAUUGUGUGUUUGGAUGUCUAUGAUGUCUAUGAUGUUACAUAUUAAACUGCAGUUAUUUCCUCAGACAGUGAGGGACAGCCAUAGAAGAACGUGGUUACUUUGUGGUUAUGGUUUAGGCAUAGGAUAUUCAAAAAACAGGAUGUUCAACAGUCGCAUUGCAUGAAUGGUGUCAUAUUUCAAAUAUAAUUUUCUGUAAGACUUUCUCUUCAGGGAGGAGUUAAAGCCUAAUGAUGACUAGAGGCAGACGUUUUGGCAGUCCUAACUCAUAGACAGCAUUUGUUGGGUCUAAAAAUAUGAAAAUAAGAAAAAUAGUUGUAUUUGUCAUGCUUGAGUUUGAAAUGAAAAGGAAUCCUUAUUUUUGAAUCUUACAGUUAUCUAGCUUGUGAACAUAUUUCACACAAGGAAUGAAUUUGCAAGAGUGUUUUAAUUUUCAUUUUAUUCAUUUUCAACUUCCUAACAUAUUUCUCAGAAGAGUGAAUUAAUCGAUAAUCUUAGUGUCAAAAACACAUCAUGCAUAUAUGAGAGCAGAGAAUUCAACUUCUAGCUAAGUUAAUGGUCAAUAUUAACUUUAGAAGAUAUAUGAAUUAUAAGAUUUUUUAAAAUUUAUCAUUAGCAUGCCUUGAGCCUAUUUCUAUGAAAAUAAGAAAUGCUAUGAAGUUCUAGAAUUUUUUUUUAAAAGAAUAUUUGGACCUUUCCUGAUUUUGUUAGUGAAUCAAGUGAAAUUGUAAAGGAUCUAAAAUACAAUAGAUUAAAAAUAUCUGCAAUCAUGGCACAUUUUCCCUUGAGUUGGCUUUAAUGUGACAAGGUUUUUGGUCAAUUUAAAUUCAAAUGGAUGUAUCCUUAAUAUAAUUUUUGUUCAAUAUGAAAUUAACUAUGUUGGUAAAUAAAAGCUUAAUUUGACCAAGAGAUCACUUGAGAUAUAAAUGUGACUGAUGUCUGCCAAGCCUAUCAUGAUCUUACAGUCUUAUUCUCCUCCCAUGUUUAAUUACUGUAUCAAACAAGGUAUUUCUUCUUUGUGUUCAAUAGCUGUAGCAGAAACAGUUCACUUCUAAUUUGGAAUACAGUCUUGAAACCUGAAGUGUACGUUGUUUUUUAAUAUGGUGUAAAAGACAUUCAGAAUCUGAGAGAGACAAGAAAAAUAAGUGCAUAUUUUGAUUGAUCCAAAAAGAAAAUAUUUUAUUUUACGGAAAAGCAUAUUCUUACAGCUUAGGAAUGUCUGCCUGUUAUAUACUUGAGAUAUAUGUAUAUAUAUAUUUUACCUUAAAUCUAUCUAUAUGUGUUUUUUUUCUCCAAAUUCUUUCAUAAAAAGAAUUUUACUAUCUGUGUUAAUAAGAAUGAUUAUUAUAAUAAAAAAGAGCAAUUCAGAAUCAAAGUCAAAUAGUGAAAGACCUCUUGCACUGUUGUGUUUUCUCUGUUCUUUUCCUAAUUUUCUACCUCCAAGGAUGGGGCAUCCACAGCUUUUCUGGACAGGCUGUUCCAGUGCCUCACCACCCUUGUCAAAAGUAAUUUCUUACUGAUAACUAAUCUAAUCUAAUCGGAUUCAUGAACACCUGAGGAACCUGAAUAUCUGCAUGUCGAUGAGAUGCAUCCUAGAAUCCUGAGGGAAUUAGCUGUUGUAGUCGCAAAGCCACUCUCAAAUAUUUGAAAACUCACAGCAAUCAGGUGAAGUUCUUGAUGACUGGAAAAAAGGCAACAACACAGCCAUUUUUAUGAUGGAUAAAAAAAAUGACUCCACAAACUACCAACUUGUCAGUCUCACCUCUGUGCCAGAAAAGAUCAUGGAGUAGAUCUUCCUGGAAGCUAUGCUAAGGCACAUGGAAGGGAGGGAGGUGAUACAGUAGAACAGGCAUGGCUUCACCAAGGGCAAAUCCUGCUUGAUCAGCCUUGUGGAUUUCUGUGAUGAAAUAACUGCAUCCAUGGACAAGGGAAGAGCCACUGAUGUCAUUUAUGAGGACUUCAGUAAGGCAUUUGACACAGUACCUCACAACAUCCUUUCCAAAAUGGAAACAUAUGGAUUUGACAGAUUAACUGCUUGAUAGACAAAGAACUUGUUGCAGAAUUGAAUCCAGAGAGCUGGACUAGAUGACCUCUAAAGGUCUCUUCCAACCCUGUGGAUUCUAUGAUUCUAUGAAACCCACCCUUUUCAGUUUAAAACAGUUACCCUUGUCCUGCACACCCUUAUAAAAUGUACAUCUUUCCUGUAUGCUCCCUUUUAACACUGGAAAACAGCUGUAGGUUCCAUUGAAGCCCAGCCCUCUGUAAACUGAAUAGCUCCAACUUUUUUCAGCUUUUCUUCAUAGGAGAGGUGCUUCAGUCCUCUACUUGUGGCCCUCCUCUUGACCUGUUCCAAUAGAUCUAUGGAUUGCUUCUGCUGAGGCCUCCAGAGCUGGAUGCAGUUCUCCUGGAACUAAGAAUAAAUACAUGAAUGUGUAGAUCCUCUUUGCCAUAGUGGGGGAAACUUGAACUCUCUAACCUGAAUUAUUUGUUUUUUUCAAAUUAGUUUUUAAUGCUUGGGAAUAUUUCCAGGCAGUUUAGUUACACUUCUUAUAUGAAAAGUUGAUGAAGUAAAUUGUUAUGGGGAGAAGAAAAGGCAUCUGCUUUAUGAAAGAUUUUUAUUUUUAUGUGUUUUCCUUUUCUUUCAAAUGUAUCACAUGCUUGCAUUAUUGUGUGAUGCUGAAAUUUGUAUUGUAUGCAAUUUUUUCAAAAGCGUUUUAUGUAUGUAGUGAAAAUUAUGUUUUAGAGAAGUGUGACUGAAUGACGUUAGAUUUCCUACUCCUCAAGAGAGAUAGCAUUUCUCAGCAAGAUUGGUAUGUAGUCUUUGUUGACAUCCUAAUGUUGCUGAAGGGUUAAUCUAAUCAUAUGAGCCCCUGUAACAAGGGCUAAUCUAGUUACAUGCACUUGAAUGUGUUGGUGGACCUUAGAGGUAUACUUCACUGUGCAGGUAAACCCCAAAUUCUCAUGCCCUUGUGACCUCCUCCUACUCAUGCACCACAGUUUUUCUUGGGAACUUGCUCACAGAUGCAGAAACCUUAGUCUUCAGGUUGAUGACUCUGAUUUCUCGUUACCCUUUGACCUCUGGGACUUCAUGCAUUGUGAGUAUCCAUGGGAACUUGAUAGGCUAUUACCCUCAUGCACUAUUUGGACUAGAAGAUUUCUCUGAGUACUACUGAGCAGUACAACGUAUUCAAUAGUAAGUAUUGACUUGCCUUUCAAAGCAGAAUUAUGUGAUACUGAUAAGAUUGAUUAUAUCACUUCUAAUGUUGAUUCUGCAAGGUGAACUUAAGGGAAACCAUAUUUCCAAAAGUCUGGUGCUUUCUUAAGCAAGAUGGCAAGACCAUCUAGAUAGCUUGCAAUUUGGAAAAAAAAAAAAAAAAAAAAAAAGGCAGCAUGAGUAAAAUGCUAGGGAAGAAAAUGAUUUGUUUGCUUUCAAAUUUUUCAUUCAUGUUACUAAUAGAAUAUUAUGACAUGAGGAUUGAGCCAUGCUGCACUUUCAAUAAAGUUUUGUACAGAGAUAUUACUGUCUAGGGAAUGUUUAAAUCUAGCAGUUUUAAAGAAAUAACAAGACUUUUACACAAAUUCUGUAGAAGUAUACUAUUUCCAUGUCUAUAGUGACGACAUUUUAAGAUCUGUACUUUUCACAAAGUAUUUAUACACUCUAUAAUUUGUUGUAAGUUCAGUUAGUCAUAUCCAUGUCAUUGCUUAUUUUCAUUCCUGAAGCAUUAAUUACAGACCAUGAUAUCCUUUCAACGAAACUACAGUAAGGCAAAAAUGAUUUUAUUUUGGGUCAUUGACCCUGAUAUGUAGAACUGAGGCUUACUGGUUUCCCCACUGACACUUAUAGGAAAAAACUUUUGAGAUUUACAAUUGCUAAAUUUCUUUGUUUAUUUUGAAGCAUACACAUUUAAAAUGCCCCUUAUAGCAUGUGUGCAGUCUCACCCAGUAUAACACUAUUACUGACAGGUGUAUUUUCACAUAUGAUCUUAUUUUGGCAUGUGAGUUUGAUUUAUGUAUGCAAGACAUAAAGACAAUUCUGCUUGUUGGGUUAAGCAAGGGAUUUAAAGAUUCUUUGGACCUUUAUCCUUCAGUAUUGCAGUAUUGGUUGCAACUGUUUUAUCAGUAUGGUAAACACAGAUGAGUGUUUGUGAGACAUACUUCUUUCAGAAAGAAAGUCCAGUAAUGAAAGGUGAGUAAUAUUUGAGAAUAUCGGUGGUUUGUAAUCUGUUACUUGUCACAAACAAAAAGAAUGCUGAAAUUUUGACCCUUCACAAAGGAUUGUGUGAGAUACUCAUGAUAGAAAAAACAUCUUGCACUUUAAUUUCUCCUUCAUUAGUGUUGUUUGGUUUCAUAACACAGCAGAGUUCCGUAUAGAAUCUUUCAUCUCACUUUUGAUCUUAAAUGGUUAUUAUGUUAAUGGCAGGAAGUAGAUAUCCUUUAAUGUUAUUGAUGCAUGCAGAAUAGACUCUGUCUAUUCAUGAAAAUGAAGGAGAUGAAAAACACAAAUACUUGUAAAUGUUUUUGUGGAGUAUGAAGGAGUUGCAGCCUUUUUUGUCUUGAUCUUAUUUUCUGUUUCUUAGAAGAGCAGAAACUUUCAGUUGCUGAUGUCGAGGAAUUCAGUUCAUCGUGUGCAGGACACAGUGAGAAGGUUUAUGUAACAAGAAGUUGGGAAAGAUCUCUCCAACAUCCCGCUGGGAAUGGAGCUGAGUGAGUGAAUGAAUGGCGGUGUGGUGCUGAGCUGACUACAAGGUUAAACCACAACAGCUCUGUAAUGCCAGGUCUCUUCUGUAUAUUGCCAAUAAAGAGAGGUGCUUGGGCACUUUCAGAGGAUUGCCUGUCACUGAAAAGAAACCAUAUUUUAGCCCUUCAAAACAGAUCCUUAAACAAAUUGACACUGGAAUAAAUGUAGGUAGGUGUUAAUACACAUCUGUACGUAUUUUCAAUAUGCAACAUCCUUCAGAGGUGCUAUCAAAAUAUGUAGUCUUUGAGCUUAGUGCUGACUAAUGUGAAAGUACUCAUAUUUUCUCAGUAAUCCCUCUCAGUUGCUUUAUAUUACUCCAUAAAUACUUGCUUUCAACUUGUCCUAUGCUGAAGAGCACCUUUAACUCACUGUCAGGAUGUGGCCUCUUUCUGCUGCAGAAAGGCAUGAGGAAACAUUCCUGGAAGUUUAAAAAUCUUCUUCUGUACCUGGAUGCAAAAAUCUGAAGCGAUAGAAACAGUAACAUGUCCUACCAUGACUAAUUAGCAUUGUAAAUUAUACUAUUUGAUCCUGCCUUGUCCUCCAAUCUAGAGCAAAUUAGCUUAUGUUUAUUCUUAAACCCAUAAUUUGUUUUCGCUGCCACCCUGUUACCAUUUGCCAGGGGACUUCAGACCUCAGGUGCUCCACUGUAGAUAUUUGACCUCUCAUUCUUCUGUUUGUCUGCUUUGUCCUGCUGAGACCCUUCCUUUUCUUAGUGCAGUCAGCUGAGGAGACACGAGGCCAGCUCUGGCCAGCAGUAAGCUGCAGCCUGUCUAGAGAUGCCUCAGGCCACACAGAGCAGAGAGGAAAUGCCUCAGCCUCACUGGGGAGGACAACCUUCCCUCUGCAGCCUCACUGGGCAAAAGAAUAGGAAACAGGGCAGAUGUCGUCACACCUUGCCUGGCUGGCAUUAAAACUUCAGAGUAAAAUCUGCUCGUGACGCUGGCUGUCAACAUUUGUUCUUCCCAGAUGGCAGAGCUAAAAUGCUUCAACCUUUGAAGAGUAUUAAUAAUAUUUCAUUUCUCUCAUGUAUACUGCAUUGCAGAAUGUUUUGACCUUUAAAAAUAAGAUUAAAAAAACAAUAGGGCAAUAGCUUAGAGGACUUCUGCAAUACAUAUGUAUAUUUGUUUUGCUUUAGUUAAUGAAACAGUUGGAAAAAGAAUGCAGGUAAAGGUUCAGACAGUUUGUUACCGGCUGCACACAUCAGAUCGAUUUCAUGAAAGAUAUCACCUGUAGUUAAUAACUUAAACAAAGCUACAAUGCUGUACAUCCAUUUGAAAUGGAAUUUUCAUUAAUACAGGACCUAAUAAUAGGUUAGGUAAUAGAUCUGGUAUAUAAUGCACAGUCAAACAGAAAUUCAUUCUAACUAUUAUGCAUAGGAAAAAAAAAGUCACAAAUUAAAACAAAAAACGAUCAAAAAAAACAAAGAAAAAAAUGAAAGAUUUCUGUAUUUUUUUUUUGUGUUCAUUAUUUAGCAGCAGAACUGUAGCUGAACCAGUCUUUAAGGACUCAGAAUCAGUUUAGCCCUCAGGGAGCUCUCUCUCACCUCUGUAUUGCCAGGGCAUAGCAGAUCCACUUGACAACAGCUGACAACAGGGCUGCUCUGACAAGCCCUUAAAGGGCAAGACAGGUAGUCACUAAAAUUAGGGCACUGCUUGUAUGACUACAGUUUCACAGUUCUGUUCCAAGAUGACAUCUGGCACUUCUGCACUUUUUUUU